CACGCGGGUAGGGCUGAGGGGCUCGCCCUCCCUCAUUCCGAAACGGGCGUAAUGCGGGGCCAGUAACCCCUCUAGGGGGCAGGAACCCGGGGGUACCGGGAGCUAUGGCCUACGAGGAACCCCGCCCUAUGGGGCCGGCGGAGGCGGGGUCGUAGCUGGAGGGCUAUGGCCACCGUCUUUACCGGGUGAACCUGGCCAGGCCCGGAAGGGAGCAACCUGUGCCCGGACGUCGGCGUUCAUGGGUCUACGGGGGGAGAAGGGCCUUGGUUUCCCGCCCGGUUCCAUGUCCUCUGGAGCGGAGCCGCGUG
rnacentral:SRP_RNA from 1 species